GCGGUGCUCCAUACCGUCCUAGAGGAGCCUGUCCUAUAAUCGAUAAUCCACGUUAUACCUCACCACCCCUUGCAACUCAGCCUAUAUACCGCCGUCGUCAGCCUACCUUGUGAAAGAAUAAAAGUAGGCAAAAUAGUUAACAACUAAAACGUCAGGUCAAGGUGUAGCCUAUGGGGUGGAAGAGAUGGGCUACACUUUCUAUUACAGAACACACGAAUAGCACAAUGAAACUUGUGCUUGAAGGCGGAUUUAGUAGUAAGAUAAAAAAGAGAGCUUAUCUGAACCCCGCUCUGGAGCGCGCACACACCGCCCGUCACCCUCAUCACACAAACCUCUUAUACUAAAAUAUAAAGCCACUAUAAAACAGAUGAGGAAAGUCGUAACAUGGUAAGCGCACCGGAAGGCGCGCUUGGAAUAACAAACAGUAGCUUAAUAUAAAGCAUUCAGCUUACAAUUGAAACAUGUUAGUGAAACUCU
rnacentral:rRNA from 1 species